AUGAAAAAGGUGAUCUUUCAUUUUGGCUUUCUGCACAACAUUAUAACUGACAAUGGUACUAAUCUUUCCAAGGGUGCGAUGGAGGAGUUUUGUCAACGUGAGCAUAUUCGGCUUGAUGUUUCAUCAGUAGCUCACCCCCAAUCCAACGGUCAAGCUGAAAGAGCCAAUCAGGAAAUCUUGAAAGGCAUCAAGCCACGGCUUAUGGUUCCUUUGCAACGGACGUUGGGUUGUUGGGUGGAGGAGUUACCUUCUGUGAUAUGGAGCAUCAAUGCUACCCCCAACAGGUCUAUGGGUUACACGGCUUUCUUCAUGGUUUACGGAGCAGAGUCGGUUCUACCUAGUGACAUCCGUCAUGACUUGCCCCGCGUGGUGGCUUACGUUGAAGAUGAUAACGAACAAGACCGUCACUUGACCUGUUAG
rnacentral:rRNA from 1 species